AUUGAACGCUGGCGGCAUGCUUUACACAUGCAAGUCGAACGGUAACAGGUUAAGCUGACGAGUGGCGAACGGGUGAGUAAUGCAUCGGAACGUGCCCGGUCGUGGGGGAUAACGCAGCGAAAGCUGCGCUAAUACCGCAUACGACCUGCGGAUGAAAGCGGGGGACCGUAAGGCCUCGCGCGAUCGGAGCGGCCGAUGUCAGAUUCGGUAGUUGGUGGGGUAAAGGCUCACCAACCCGACGAUCUGUAGCUGGUCUGAGAGGACGACCAGCCACACUGGGACUGAGAAACGGCCCAGACUCCUACGGGAGGCAGCAGUGGGGAAUUUUGGACAAUGGGCGCAAGCCUGAUCCAGCAAUGCCGCGUGCAGGAAGAAGGCCUUCGGGUUGUAAAGCUCUUUUGUCAGGGAAGAAACGGCUCGGGCUAAUAUCCUGGGCUAAUGACGGUACCUGAAGAAUAAGCACCGGCUAACUACGUGCCAGCCGCCGCGGUAACAC
rnacentral:rRNA from 1 species